rnacentral:rRNA from 1 species
GACGAACGCUGGCGGCGUGCUUAACACAUGCAAGUCGAACGGAAAGGCCCUGCUUUUGUGGGGUGCUCGAGUGGCGAACGGGUGAGUAACACGUGAGUAACCUGCCCUUGACUUUGGGAUAACUUCAGGAAACUGGGGCUAAUACCGGAUAGGAGCUCCUGCUGCAUGGUGGGGGUUGGAAAGUUUCGGCGGUUGGGGAUGGACUCGCGGCUUAUCAGCUUGUUGGUGGGGUAGUGGCUUACCAAGGCUUUGACGGGUAGCCGGCCUGAGAGGGUGACCGGCCACAUUGGGACUGAGAUACGGACCAGACUCCUACGGGAGGCAGCAGUGGAGAAUAUUGCACAAUGAGCGGAAGCCUGAUGCAGCAACGCCGCGUGCGGGAUGACGGCCUUCGGGUUGUAAACCGAUUUCGCCUGUGACGAAGCGUGAGUGACGGUAAUGGGUAAAGAAGCACCGGCUAACUACGUG